rnacentral:rRNA from 1 species
CUAGAGAGACUGCCGGUGACAAACCGGAGGAAGGUGGGGAGGACGUCAAGUCCUCAUGGCCCUUAUGGGUAGGGCUUCACACGUCAUACAAUGGUGCAUACAGAGGGUUGCCAAGCCGCGAGGUGGAGCUAAUCCCAGAAAAUGCAUCGUAGUCCGGAUCGUAGUCUGCAACUCGACUACGUGAAGCUGGAAUCGCUAGUAAUCGCGGAUCAGCAUGCCGCGGUGAAUACGUUCCCGGGCCUUGUACACACCGCCCGUCACACCAUGGGAGUGGGC